rnacentral:rRNA from 1 species
UACGGAGGUGGCAAGCGUUGCUCGGAAUCACUGGGCGUAAAGGGCGCGUAGGCGGGGAGGUAAGUCGGGUGUGAAAUCCCUCGGCCCAACUGAGGAACUGCGCCCGAGACUGCUUCUCUUGAGUCCCGGAGAGGAAGAUGGAAUUCCCGGUGUAGCGGUGAAAUGUGUAGAGAUCGGGAGGAACACCGGUGGCGAAGGCGGUCUUCUGGACGGUGACUGACGCUGAGGCGCGAAAGCCAGGGGAGCAAACGGG